rnacentral:rRNA from 1 species
GAUGAACGCUGACAGAAUGCUUAACACAUGCAAGUCCACUUGAACUUCGGUUUGUGUGGCGGACGGGUGAGUAACGCGUAAAGAACUUGCCUCACAGCUAGGGACAACAUUUGGAAACGAAUGCUAAUACCUGAUAUUAUGAUUAUAUGGCAUCGUAUAAUUAUGAAAGCUAUAUGCGCUGUGAGAGAGCUUUGCGUCCCAUUAGCUAGUUGGAGAGGUAACAGCUCACCAAGGCGAUGAUGGGUAGCCGGCCUGAGAGGGUGAUCGGCCACAAGGGGACUGAGACACGGCCCUUACUCCUACGGGGGGCAGCAGUGGGGAAUAUUGGACAAUGGACCGAGAGUCUGAUCCAGCAAUUCUGUGUGCACGAUGAAGUUUUUCGGAAUGUAAAGUGCUUUCAGUUGGGAAGAAAAAAAUGACGGUACCAACAGAAGAAGUGACGGCUAAAUACGUG